rnacentral:rRNA from 1 species
AGUUGCCAGCGUACUCUCUGGAGUGACGGGUACGACUGUGGGGACCGCCGCUGCUAAAGCGGAGGAAGGAAUGGGCAACGGUAGGUCAGUAUGCCCCGAAUAUCCCGGGCUACACGCGAGCUACAAUGGUUGGUACAAUGGGUAUCUACCCCGAAAGGGGACGGGAAUCUCCUAAAACCAAUCUUAGUUCGGAUUGAGGGCUGCAACUCGCCCUCAUGAAGCUGGAAUCCGUAGUAAUCGCGUUUCAACAGAACGCGGUGAAUACGUCCCUGCUCCCUU